ensembl:lncRNA
UGAUACAGGGCAAGCUUUGCAUAUUCUGUUGAUUCCUCUCAGAAGUCUGACACAGGGCAAGCUUGCAUAUCUGCUGAUGCUCUAAGAGUCUGAUACAGGGCAAGCUUGCACAUCUCUGCUGAUGCUCUCAGAGUUUAUUGGGGCAAGCUUGCAUAUUCUUGAUGCCUCAGA